rnacentral:rRNA from 1 species
GGGUNUAAAGAGUGCGCAGGCGGUCUGUAGUACGAGAUGUGGAAAUACCCGGGCGUUAACCUGGGACUGCGUUUGAAACUGCAGAGCUAGAGUGCGGCAGAGGGAGGUGGAAUUCCAUGUGUAGCAGUGAAAUGCGUAGAGAUAUGGAAGAACAUCGAUGGCGAAGGCAACCUCCUGGGCUAGCACUGACGCUCAUGCACGAAAGCGUGGGGAGCAAACAGGAUUAGAUACCCUGGUAGUCCACGCCCUAAACUAUGUCAACUAGUUGUCGGGUCUUAAUAGACUUGGUAACGUAGCUAACGCGUGAAGUUGACCCGCCUGGGGAGUACCGGUCGCAAGAUUAAAAACC